CCUACGGGGGGCAGCAGUGGGGAAUAUUGGACAAUGGGCGAAAGCCUGAUCCAGCCAUGCCGCGUGUGUGAAGAAGGCCUUCGGGUUGUAAAGCACUUUCAGUGGGGAAGAAAGCCUUGGGGCUAAUACCCUCGAGGAAGGACAUCACCCACAGAAGAAGCACCGGCUAACUCCGUGCCAGCAGCCGCGGUAAUACGGAGGGUGCGAGCGUUAAUCGGAAUUACUGGGCGUAACGCGCGCGUAGGCGGUCUGAUAAGCCGGUUGUGAAAGCCCCGGGCUCAACCUGGGAACGGCAUCCGGAACUGUCAGGCUAGAGUGCAGGAGAGGAAGGUAGAAUUCCCGGUGUAGCGGUGAAAUGCGUAGAGAUCGGGAGGAAUACCAGUGGCGAAGGCGGCCUUCUGGACUGACACUGACGCUGAGGUGCGAAAGCGUGGGUAGCAAACAGGAUUAGAGACCCUGGUAGUC
rnacentral:rRNA from 1 species